rnacentral:tRNA from 1 species
AUUUAGAUAGUUUAAUUAAAAAUUUUGAUUUGUGAUGUCAAUAAUAUAGGUUUGUAAAUCCUAUUCUAGAUU